rnacentral:lncRNA from 1 species
AUAUUUUCAAAAAUAUCGAUAAUAUCGCAAUAUUUUAUUAAAAAAAUACUUGAAUAUGUUAAGUAAACUUAACACAUACUUCACUUGAUCUUGGCCCAAAGACCAAACAAGCUUUGGAUACCUCAACAGGGGAGUGUGGCUUUUAUAGGAAAAAUGGCUUGCUCACUUCCUUGCAUGGGCGAUGUGGGACUCGCCCAAUGGGAGAAAAAAUCAAAAUUUCGGCCGAAAUUUU